CCACAUAGAAAAAGUCAGGAGUGACAGAUUGGCUGGAGUGGGUGACAGAAGUGCGGUCGGUCGAAGAAGUCAAGCAACCCCAUUCUUAGUUGCCAUCUAACAAAGUUGUUUUAUAGACUUCACACGCCGUGUCUACGCGUGCAAAAGAGCCAGGAGACGCAAGGCUACAAAACUUCAACAAAAACCAUCAGAAAAUUAGUUGAUUAUAACGGUCGCUAUCUAUCUCUGUCUCGUCGCGUGCGAUAAUUACGUAAUUACACACUUGUGGCGAUUCCCAACCGCAUUUACAAGUACUUUAGGCUCGACUGCUUUGAUUAAGAACUUUAAAUCACGUGUAAGCAAGGCUUAGUGAAGUUGAAGACAUGACAGAAUCAGUGAGAAUACGAAGAUCACGGCGACGAUCAGCCUUUAUGGACAUUUAUACAUUUUUGCAUAAAGCAUCUGUACUGUCAGCGCUGGAGGAAAAGUCACGAGCAUCUGAGAAGAAACUUGUUCGUAUUUUUCAGGAUCCUCUACUGAAAUGCGGAUGUUCUGAGUGUGGCUGGCACCAAGUCUGAUGACUUUUCCCAGAAGAUUCAGAGAAGAGGGGCAGAAAAAGAGUCUUCUUGUCCAAUGAGAGGAAAAGGGGACUGAAGAAUGUGAAAGCUCUCAUUCAGGCCGGUUCACAGGGGCCGGGAGCGGCCACAUCCUUGGGAGGAGGGGUGAGCCGGGGGUCCUGGAUCAGAGCCAGGAGCCAUGAAGAGGCUCCUCGGAUGACGCUGGUCCGUGGGAGCAGUCGGUGCCUCCGCCUCUCCUCUGUCCCUCAGGACAUCGACUCCGGACCCCUCGCAUUCAAUUUACUCACACAAACAAACUCUCCCCGCAGUCCUUGUACCCACUGAGCAGAACCAGCCGGUGAGCUGCAGGGUGAGGAAUGUGUCUCUAUUAAUAGAGCGGGUAGAUUAUCUCAAACACUAAUGACUGGCAUGUCCAGAUUCCUGAAAGGCACGGCAGUGACGUACUCUCAUCCAACAACUUUGGCAACAAAAUUGGCAAUGAGCUCAUUUCCCCAGAUUAUCUAUGAAUUUACCUUACAGUACUCUUUUUAUAAUAGCUUCUACUUUGUGCUUUCACAGCCAUACUGUUAAAUAGAAAUACAACCUUUAGGUUUAAUCAUUUAGAUUAUGUUUUUAUUUAAAUCAAGAGACAAGUAAGAAAAAUUAAUUAAAAAUAGAAUACUUAUUCAUAAUUAUAAUGAAUUAAUUGGCCAAAAGUGUUAGUAUAUAUUUAUGAUUAAGUUAGGAUAUGCAGUAUUUUGAAAAACAUAGGUUGAUAUUAUUGAGCUACGUCAUACCCUAAAAAUACAGUGCUCAGCAUAAUUGAGUACACCCCAUUUUGAAAAUAAAUAUAUUUCUCAAUUUCUCAGUGAAUAUAGGCAAUGUAUUUUGGUUCAAUAAAACAAAUUUAUUAAACAGAUAUUUAUUAAAAUAAUAUUUUAGUCACCAAACAUAUUUAGAAAUUAAAAGAUAAUACAAUUAAAUUCAAGCUAAAUAUUGCAGAAAUAAUUUACAACCUACAAAAUUUCUUUUUUUUUUUUUUUUUUGGCUUUUCUUGAUUUUAACUUUUUUUUAAAUUUGUAUUAAAUAUUUUUCUAUAACAUAAAUUUGGGUGUACUAGUUUUUGGACCAUUAUCGUGAGUAAUUUUGUUAGAUAAGCUCCAGAUUUGGCAUUAGUACUGACAAAUCUAAUGUAUAUGCACAAAUAUAAUAUUGUACAGCUUCCUAUUAAAAAUUAGAAUUUAAAAGAUAGAUUUGUGAGGGGUGUUCUUACAUAUUUGCUGAGCACUGUAUAUGAACAACAUUGUUGUUGUUGUUUUGUUUUGUUUUUUGCUUUCAUGACCUGUAUCAUAGGCAGUUUGUGAUUUUAAAAAAAUGUGUUUGAACUUGCAUUGAUCGAAACGUGAUAUUCAGGUAUGUUUGGGUCAAGAAAUUCUUUCCUAUCAACCCAUGGCCAGAUCUUUCCAUCCCAGCUCGACUUGGGAACCCAUAUGAGCUUCAGGGAGUGUAAACAUCCUACACUCUCAGCUGGAGCGCAGCCGAGGCCGGGAGUGGGAUGUUUGCGCUCUCUGGCUCAGGAACGCCCCUGUUCACUGUAACAGAGCUCCUCCAGAUCAUCUCUUCUUUACAGCAAAUCUGAAAUUGCACCUGUUCACCGUACUGGAGUAAGUAGCAAUCCUGUGAGUUUAGUAUACUUAUAAAAAUCUAUCCAUCUAUUUAGUGUCAAUCUAUCUAUCUGUCUGUCCUUCCAACCAUCCGUAUCUAUCUAUCUAUCUAUCUAUCUAUCUAUCUAUCUAUCUAUCUAUCUAUCUAUCUAUCUAUCUAUCUAUCUAUCUAUCUAUCUAUCUAUCUAUAUAUAUAUACAUAUAUAUAUAUAUCUGUCUGUCUAUCUGACUAUCAAUACCUUAUAUGAGGUAAAUUUAAUUUAAUGUGAAAUUGACACAUCUUUUUAUUGAUGUCUUUCUUUUGAGUCGUGAGAUGUAGCCUAUUAAAUAUAAAUGUUUAUUUUGUUCUGUAACCAGUCGUAAACAGAGAAAGGAAUGAUCACAUUAACUCAUCUUCGUCUGAAGUGAUCUGUCACAUCAAAACAGCUUUAACAGAAUUUGUUUCCUAAUAAAAAGUAACUUUACACAAAGCGUCUUGUGAUCAUUGGACUGUAUGUAUGUGUAUCUAGGAAUUUAAGAAUCAAUAUAAUUUAUUAAAAUGAUGAUUUAUAGAUUUACAAGUUUCAGAUUAAUUUUUGCAGAUAUAGUGGGUAAAGUAACACCGUAUUUCUUCUGAACAUAUACAGUUGAAGUCAGAAUUAUUAGCCCCCCUGAA
rnacentral:lncRNA from 1 species